GCCAGGUGUGGUGGCGUGCACCUGUAAUCCCAGCUACUUGGGAGGCUGAGGCAGGAGAAUUGCUUGAACCCAGGAGGCAGUAGUUGCAGUGAGCCGAGAUCACGCCACUGUAUUCCAGCCUGGGUGACAGAGCAAGAUUCAGUCUCAA
rnacentral:sRNA from 1 species